GUUGUGUUGUACCAAGCUGCAUUGGUCGAACAACAAGUGGUUAUGUGUGAUGCCUAUUAAUGCUAAUGCAUAAAUGAAGAGAAUCUGCAAUUUUCAGCAGCAGAUGGUAAUUUUAGGGGUCUAGGUAAGUAUCAUUUAAGAGCUGGUGUUUGAUAAAAUUUAAUCCUGCAAAAUGCUGCAGGUUGUAGACUGUACUGUUUGUUUUUUGUGUUUGGUCUCUCAUGUGAAGGCUAAAUUUUUUGAGGUUAACUUUUAGGCUUGGUGAAUCUUGUGCUUGUGUCUUUGAACUGUAUUCAUGUCUUGGCCUCUUGGGUAGCUGUGCUAUUUUUACUGGUAAUUGUAUUUUUCUUUUUCAUAUUCUAGCACACCUUAUGCUUGGUAAUUACCAUCUUAUGCUUGGUCAUUUGAAAAAACAUAAGAUGGUAAUUGACGGUGCAAAGACAAAAUGUUGUAACUUUGAAAAUUAAGGCAUUU
rnacentral:lncRNA from 1 species